rnacentral:lncRNA from 1 species
AUGAAGCUGGGUUCCUGGAGGUCUCAGACCAUCGUCAAAAGCCUGGGCCCCAGGAAGGCCUUGGUGGCCAUGCCAUGGAGCAUUAAUGAUGGUGCACACUCCUGGCCCUGCCAUCCCCAAGGGACAUGUGUGCUGUGGACCACCCUGCUACAUGUGCAAGGGCCACUCGGCCUGGACUGCCCCCCCCCCCUGACAUGGAGCUGGCCCCCAGCAAGGUUCCAAAGACACAAGACACAUGGCCCAGGGGACUGGGACCAGGCAGGAGCCUCACUCCUGUUCACUGUGGUUCACCCCCAGGCCCACAGGGCUAUGAUGCUCAGGAACGGGGCCUGUGUGGUGCAGGGAGGAGGCGCGUGGUGCCUGGGGCUGAGAUUUAAGCUCCUGCUCAAUGAGCUGAAGUCCUCAACUGACAUGGUCUGUCCCGAAAGCUGGGAUUUUCCCUGGCAAAGCCCUGAAGCAUCUGUUUUGACAACCACGAGGCCAAAGCCUGGAGGAGCCACAGUGCUGACAGAGCACCUCACGGAGACAGGAAGAGGCCUGAAGUCUGGAAACCGCAGGAGGCGGAAGGAACCCUGUGUGACACGCCCCGCCCAGCCAGCCACUCCUGCUGUGAGCCGCCCAGCCCACGAGUGUCCCGCCUACUCUGCGUGCCCUGGGGGUCAGCUGUGCCGGGGCGGGGGAUAGAGCAAGGAUGUCUGAGGGGCAGGGAAGCUUCUGGAAGUCCACCCGGCCUGUCUCCAUGAGCACCCCACACCUCGGCUGAUCGGAGGGAGAACAGUGCAAAUGUAACCAGGGGCCAAGGGCACGGGCAGGACCCCGCUUUUGUUUUAGAGCAAACCUCAAAACUCUGGGAGUCUGAGUGGGUCUCUGUGCCCUGCCAGGCCAACCCUAAAAGGGAUGAUGUUUCCCCUCUCAGAGGCAGCAGGAGCAUCCAGGCCGACACAGGGCCCCGGGUCAGGACCACUGGCUGGAGCAUCUGAUAACGCACCUCACCAUGGCAUCACUGAACAUCUUCUAGAAAGAUCACAGACUACCACAUUCAACCUAACCUGUUCCAAGCAACAUUCAAAUGGCUGUUUCCUGGUAACAGGCGACAAACCAACCCCAC